GGGAGAGCGUCGCCUGCGUAUCCACCAAUGGCUGCGCCUACGCCAGUCGGAACUAUCAUCACACUCGUAUACUGCCUUUUACAUCCAGCGGUGUAGCGUUUGAGAGCGGAGCAGGAGACGAUCGACUUCGGGGGCGAUGGCUGAGAUUUGGUCCGGAGGCCAUUCUGGCGAGGGAAUAUCGGGAGUGGAUAAGUGAGAUGAAG
rnacentral:misc_RNA from 1 species